rnacentral:rRNA from 1 species
UUUUUACAAUGGAGAGUUUGAUCCUGGCUCAGGAUGAACGCUAGCGGCAGGCCUAACACAUGCAAGUCGAGGGGUAACAGGGAAAAGCUUGCUUUUCCGCUGACGACCGGCGCACGGGUGCGUAACGCGUAUGCAACCUACCUUUUAC